AAAGGUAAGUUAUUGACUUUAU
rnacentral:miRNA from 1 species